GCCAAAAGUAAAAGUGCUCUUUCGAGACUAUCGAAGUGAUCGCAAAGAGGAAAGGAAGGACCGCACAAUGCGUGAACAACAAACACGCAUUAACCCGAGGAAAGAGAAGGGCAACUGAUGGUUACUUGACGGGAAUGUGUGAUUAGAGGGACGAGGACGCACUGAGCGCGAGAAACACGGAGCAGGAUUUCUCGGCGUACAAUUAAACUGAGCUGACCCUUGAACCCUGACGCUUCAUACGGCAGAUAAUGCAGGCGAGCUCCAAUAUUUGUCCGGAUUAUACAAACCUCUAUGGCACGGAAUCC
rnacentral:misc_RNA from 1 species